AGCUUGCUCUUCUUGGAUGAGUUGCGAACGGGUGAGUAACGCGUACGUAACCUGCCUUGUAGCGGGGGAUAACUAUUGGAAACGAUAGCUAAUACCGCAUAACAAUGGAUGACACAUGUCAUUUAUUUGAAAGGGGCAAUUGCUCCACUACAAGAUGGACCUGCGUUGUAUUAGCUAGUAGGUGAGGUAACGGCUCACCUAGGCGACGAUACAUAACCGACCUGAGAGGGUGAUCGGCCACACUGGGACUGAGACACGGCCCAGACUCCUACGGGAGGCAGCAGUAGGGAAUCUUCGGCAAUGGGGGCAACCCUGACCGAGCAACGCCGCGUGAGUGAAGAAGGUUUUCGGAUCGUAAAGCUCUGUUGUAAGUCAAGAACGAGUGUGAGAGUGGAAAGUUCACACUGUGACGGUAGCUUACCAGAAAGGGACGGCUAACUACGUGCCAGCAGCCGCGGUAAUACGUAGGUCCCGAGCGUUGUCCGGAUUUAUUGGGCGUAAAGCGAGCGCAGGCGGUUUGAUAAGUCUGAAGUUAAAGGCUGUGGCUCAACCAUAGUUCGCUUUGGAAACUGUCAAACUUGAGUGCAGAAGGGGAGAGUGGAAUUCCAUGUGUAGCGGUGAAAUGCGUAGAUAUAUGGAGGAACACCGGUGGCGAAAGCGGCUCUCUGGUCUGUAACUGACGCUGAGGCUCGAAAGCGUGGGGAGCGAACAGGAUUAGAUACCCUGGUAGUCC
rnacentral:rRNA from 1 species